rnacentral:rRNA from 1 species
AUUGAACGCUGGCGGCAGGCCUAACACAUGCAAGUCGAGCGGAUGAAGGGAGCUUGCUCCUGGAUUCAGCGGCGGACGGGUGAGUAAUGCCUAGGAAUCUGCCUGGUAGUGGGGGAUAACGUCCGGAAACGGGCGCUAAUACCGCAUACGUCCUGAGGGAGAAAGUGGGGGAUCUUCGGACCUCACGCUCUCAGAUGAGCCUAGGUCGGAUUAGCUAGUUGGUGGGGUAAAGGCCUACCAAGGCGACGAUCCGUAACUGGUCUGAGAGGAUGAUCAGUCACACUGGAACUGAGACACGGUCCAGACUCCUACGGGAGGCAGCAGUGGGGAAUAUUGGACAAUGGGCGAAAGCCUGAUACAGCCAUGCCGCGUGUGUGAAGAAGGUCUUCGGAUUGUAAAGCACUUUAAGUUGGGAGGAAGGGCAGUAAGUUAAUACCUUGCUGUUUUGACGUUACCAACAGAAUAAGCACCGGCUAACUUCGUG